GAACCAACAGGGAUUGCCCUAGUAACGGCGAGUGAAGCGGCAACAGCUCAAAUUUGAAAUCUGGCGUAAGCCCGAGUUGUAAUUUGUAGAGGAUGCUUCUGGGUAGCGGCCGGUCUAAGUUCCUUGGAACAGGACGUCAUAGAGGGUGAGAAUCCCGUAUGUGACUGGCUUGCACCCUCCACGUAGCUCCUUCGACGAGUCGAGUUGUUUGGGAAUGCAGCUCUAAAUGGGAGGUAAAUUUCUUCUAAAGCUAAAUACCGGCCAGAGACCGAUAGCGCACAAGUAGAGUGAUCGAAAGAUGAAAAGCACUUUGGAAAGAGAGUUAAAAAGCACGUGAAAUUGUUGAAAGGGAAGCGCCCGCAACCAGACUUUGCGGCGGUGUUCGGCUGGUCUUCUGACCGGUUUACUCGCCGCCGUGAGGCCAUCAUCGUCUGGGACCGCUGGAUAAGACCUGAGGAAUGUAGCUCCCUUCGGGGUGUGUUAUAGCCUCUGGUGAUGCAGCGCGUCUCGGGCGAGGUCCGCGCUUCGGCAAGGAUGAUGGCGUAAUGGUUGUCGGCGGCCCGUCUUGAAACACGGACCAAGGAGUCUAACAUCUAUGCGAGUGUUCGGGUGUCAAACCCCUACGCGUAAUGAAAGUGAACGGAGGUGGGAACUUUUUGUGCACCAUCGACCGAUCCUGAUGUCCUCGGAUGGAUUUGAGUAAGAGCAUAGCUGUUGGGACCCGAAAGAUGGUGAACUAUGCCUGAAUAGGGUGAAGCCAGAGGAAACUCUGGUGGAGGCUCGCAGCGGUUCUGACGUGCAAAUCGAUCGUCAAAUUUGGGUAUAGGGGCGAAAGACUAAUCGAACCAUCUAGUAGCUGGUUCCUGCGACUC
rnacentral:rRNA from 1 species